rnacentral:misc_RNA from 1 species
CUGCUUAAGCCGCUCCAACAGCAGGAGCUCUACCAAAAAGGGCGUUUCUUUGUUUUCGCAGUUGGGAGUGGCGCUGGCGCGUCGAAUCACCUCCUCGUUUUCCCCCGGCGCUCGCUGACAUUCUUCUGGUUUUCUUCCACCGACAAAGGCAGCGAUGGAGGCGCCACGCACGUUUUCAUCUCGUGUGAGUCCGUCAUCGUCGCGUCUGCCGAACCCGUCGAAGAGGGGCGGAGCGCCCCUCGUCGGAGCGGCUCGCAGGAUGCCGGGUGUAAGAGGACAGUCAAAGGGGUUGCUAGAGCUGCUGGAGAGAGGUGCUAUCGGCCCGGAAACGGACCUAGAGCCACUGCUCACGACGGACGGGCCCAUGCGGUCGCAUCGGAUGCAGCUGCACAGGGCAGCCGACAAGCGACAGUGCCGCCCACAAAUCAUGACCGAGAACUCUGGCUUCAACGCGGUCCACGACUACAAGCUGGACAUGGAAGAACUUGCUAAAAUCCCUCCCUCCCUGGGCCUGAACGAGCUUCAGGACUGGGAUGUGGCGCAGGCGCAGGAGAGACGUCUGCCGCGUUCCGCCGUGCAUGCUGGGGCGGCUCCGAAAGCCAGCCCCCAGUUGAAGUCUGCUUCAGGCCCGUCUACAUCAUUGGCUGCAGCAGCAGCCAACCCGCUCCAUGCCACUGGUCCCGCGCGAGAGGACACGCGCACCUACACCGAGCUGCUCGACUGGUAUUCGAUGCACGAGUUUAUCAUACGCAAGGGAAAGGCGCUCCGCAACACGCCCGAGUUUGCCUCCUUCAAGCGACACUACGCGUCCAGCUGGGGCGAGGUAGACGGCCUCAUCGAGGUACUGGAGGAGAUGCUGCGGAGCUACGGUGUUGAGCUGGCCUAUGUGGAUGGUAAGCGACUCGCCCAGCUGGCCUCUUAUCAGGCGCCCGACUUAAUCUCCGCGACGGAGACGCUGGAAUGCAUCAACAACGCCGAAGAGGUGCUCCCGCUGCUCAUGGAUGCGUCUCGUCCCUACCGCUACGGCCCCAAGCGCCACCAAGUGGCGGCUACAAAGGUGCAGGCCACGUGGCGCAUGUACCGGCAGCGCAUUGCCUACAUCCACCUGCUGAUCGGCACCCACGCCGCUAUUGCCAUUCAGCGACAGUAUGCCAUGUACCGCGCACACCGCAUGACGCGUCGCACCAUUCGCUCCAUACGCGAAACCCGCAUGACGCAGUGGCAGGAGACGAUGAGGGAAUUCAAGGCUGCGUGGCCGCGCAUUGAGGAGGGCCGCCGCAUCAUCGUACACCUUCCCUCUCUCUCGUAUCCGACGUACCAAGCAAAGAAGAUGCCCUUCUACGAGGCGAGGCAGCUGGGGCAGUUAACGCGGCUGAGCAUGUUAGCGGACCCACAUGUGCAGCUUGUCUUUGUGGUGCCGGUGAAGCCGGAGACGGAGAUUCAACAGUACUACAUGAGUCUGCUUGCCGAGAACGGCGUGUCGAACGUUGCCAGCCGCUUGACGUUCGUGGUGCCCGAGAACGUGCGGCGUCUUCCUGCUGGGAUGAGUCUUACUCGCAUGGUGUUGCUCUCCCCGCGUCUCUUAAAGCUGCUUUCUGCCUUGUGUACCGGCAAGCCAGCCUACAUCUUACCCGGCGUCGUCGGAGAAGAAGAGCUUACGUUGGCCACGCAGCUGAACGUACCAAUGCUGUCGUCAGAGCCGCAUCUGGUGCAGGGUUACGGCUCCAAGAGCGGCUGCAGGCGAUUGCUCGCGGCUGCGGACAUUCUGACACCUCCUGGCGCGGCACAGCUGCGCUCUAGAGCGGACCUCUUGCACUCGUUGGCAGGCCUCGUCGUUGGGCGCCGCGCAGUGCAGCGAUGGCUGGUCAAGCUGGAGAACGAGUUUGGAAGCCAAGGCCACGCAUACCUCGACGUGAACCGCCUCAAUUCUCUGCAGAAUGAGGGCUCGGCGUCUGGCUCCGUCGACGCUGCAUCCUCUGCCGGGCUGCGUGCGGCGGUGUUUCACGAGUUAGAGAUGAACGGAGCGAAGCGCAUGCGGCUCGUGCACCCAAGCAGCUACCCCAACUGGGAGGCGUACCUAGCCAUGUUUGACGCCGUGGGCGGGUGUGUGGAGGCCGUCCUGCCCGGCCUUUGCACCUCCAUCACCGCAAACAUGUUUGUUGCCCCGUCCGGGGAGGUACGGGUAGAGUCGGUAGUGGAGCCGCUUCUGGCCCCAGCCCUCACUUCGAUGGGGUCGCUCUUCCCGUACCGCUCCAGUGUGCCGUACACGGCGGUGCGCGGCGCUUCUCUCAGCCUGGGCCAGGCAGCGUAUCGCAAGCACAUUAUGGGCUACCUGUCUGUCGACUUCGUGGUCACCACCGAAGUCGAUGCCGAGGGCAACGCCUCCUCUCCUCAGACGCGGCUGUGGGGUGUGGACGUAGAUUUUGGGCUCACCACGCAGGCCUCCGCGCAUGCGCUCGCCCGUGUCUUUAGCGGCAGCGUAUGGGACGAGAAGAGCGGCUCCUGCGUGAACCAGAACACCGGCAAGCCACUCGUGUACGUGUACAGCGGCGUACUGUACAAUCCCUACAUCUCCUCCAUCCGACACUCCUCCUUCUUCUCCCUCUGCUGCAACCGAGGGCUGACGUACAAUUGCAACCGUCAGUCGGGGAUCGUCUUCCACUUCCUCAACCUCUUGCUGUGCAACUGCCUCGGUGUGCUGUCAGUCGGCUCUGAGGAGGAACGUGUGGUGCAGCAGAUAACGGAGUUUCAGGCGCUCCUGAACAUGCAGUUCCCCGCCCAAGGUCAACAUUCGGCUGACAGCAACUGCGUAUACUUUUCCUCCCUCGUCCGGCAGCUCUCGCAAUUCUUGACGUGAGAGGACGGUGAGCUCGAGUGGAUAUGGCGGCGGCGCUGUUAGCGGUGCGAUGCGUGUGUGUGUGUGUGCCCGCCGGCUGUGUGCAGAGGGACGGUGAGAAAUGUGUGUCGCACCUCUGCAUACUCUGUCACGUGUGUGCUCCUUUUUUCUUUGCGCGUCUGCACGCCGUCGUGUGCGGGGCGCUGAUGCCUUUGUUUCGCUCUCUUCUGUUCUUUUCUCCUACGAUGUACUGAGUGAAGGUACGCUGUCCUGCCUUUCCCACUCCUCCUCCUGCCUCUCCCCUGCGCCAGCGCCGUUGCAUGGCGCUUUCUCUUCUUCAGACCUUGCGCGUUGUGCCGUCCUGCGUGUGUGCGAACCCUCUCCGUGGCACUCCCUUGACGAUGCGUUUUUCUCCUCUCCCACGCGACCCACGCGCACGGGUGGGGGGUGGGCCCCGCGUGUGUACCCGCCCCCGCCACCUCGGCAGGCGCUUUGGCGUUGCGCACGCCGAGUCGAGUGCAGCGCAGUCAAAAGACACGAC